rnacentral:rRNA from 1 species
AGCUGCAGUAUCUUGACUGUACAAAGGUAGCAUAAUCAUUAGUUUCUUGAUUGGAAGCUGGAAUGAAUGGUUGAAUAAGGAAAUAACUGUCUCUUUUUAAUUGAAUUGAAUUUUAUUUUUAAGUUAAAAAGCUUAAAUUUUAUAAAAAGACGAGAAGACCCUAUAGAGUUUAAUAGACUUAGGUUUUUAUAGUUUAGGGUUAUAUUAUAUAAAAAUUUAUGUUUAUUUUGUUGGGGUGAUUUCAGAAUUUAAUAAACUUCUUAUUUUAAAUCAUUGAUUUAUGAAUAAAUGAUCCUAAUUUUUAGAUUAAAAGAAUUAAUUACCUUAGGGAUAACAGCGUAAUUCUUUUGGAGAGUUCUUAUCGAUAAAAGAGAUUGCGACCUCGAUGUUGGAUUAAAGUUAAAUUUUGGUGAAGAAGCUUUAAUUUUAAGACUGUUCGAC